CGUUUGUUAUGCGUGAAUUCAUUAACGCGUGAAUUCAUUACCGUUUGUUAUGCCCUUUUAUAGUUAGGUAUCCACGACGGCAAAAUUCCUCUUGUGAAGUUGUCGACGUCUGGGUCACUGGGUGGACGACAAGCAAUUGAGAGACACACAUGCGCACUUGCAGUCCUAGAUAUUUGACAUCGUAAAUCUUAAGCUAUCGCGACGACGUCCUAGUCCCAGCCCUCUGCUCAGCCCUGACGUCCUAGUUGACGUCGACGUCGUAGAUCUUAAGCUAUCUAAUAAGCCUCCCAAGUGCGUAUUCUAUUGACGUCAAAGGUAGAAUGAAUUUUGGAAAGUUAGUGAGAAUACAGAUUGUGUUUGAAAGAGGAAAUGUAGAGGUACAUUCAGUGAUAUGAACGGGAAGACUGUCCCAAAGAAUCCGAUUGAUACUUCAUACUUGCAAGGGGAAAGCCUUGCAUGGGUGCCCCACCAGUCCAUGGUGGUCAACCAGACUAUGAGAAUAAGCCCAACACUGUUUUAGUUUGUCCAUUGCAGUAUUUUACCACACAUUAUUUUGUCAAACGUUCGUCCAAUUAAUAUUUUGGUAAAAAAAAACCUGACAAGUCCUAUUCGGAAGAUUUGUCUAGUAUUUUUGCUAAUAUAAAUAUUUUUGUGGCCAUAUUACAGUAUGCGUGGGAAAAACAAAGCACUUUAGUAUAAGUGGACUUUAAAAACUGUCAGGAUUAAAACAAACCAGUUGUUUUGAACGAACAAUUUUGUACACAAAAAUUAAAAUAAAAUGGAGUGAAACCUUUGUAACGAACACUUCCGGUUUUCUGGAGGCGUGUAGCGGUUGCCUAGUGUUCAAGUGUUUUGUCAUCAAUUUUCUAUACUAUAUAGACAUGUACGAAAGUUACGAAUCGGUAGACACGCUGGGAUUUUCAUGUUUAUUGUAACCACAAUGGUGCAUAUAUUUUAUUUCGCCAUGAUCGUGGGCUGCCCACCGACAACUCUGCAUGCA